UAACACCGGUUCUCAUUCGAUCACCGAAGUUAAGCAACGUUGAAUCCGGUUAGUACUUACAUGAGUGAUCGCUCGGAAUACCAGGUGCUGUAAG